CUGUGAGCUCGAUGAGUAGGGCGGGACACGUGGUAUCCUGUCUGAAUAUGGGGGGACCAUCCUCCAAGGCUAAAUACUCCUGACUGACCGAUAGUGAACCAGUACCGUGAGGGAAAGGCGAAAAGAACCCCGGCGAGGGGAGUGAAAAAGAACCUGAAACCGUGUACGUACAAGCAGUGGGAGCACAGAGCAAUCUGUGUGACUGCGUACCUUUUGUAUAAUGGGUCAGCGACUUAUAUUCUGUAGCAAGGUUAACCGAAUAGGGGAGCCGAAGGGAAACCGAGUCUUAACUGGGCGUUAAGUUGCAGGGUAUAGACCCGAAACCCGGUGAUCUAGCCAUGGGCAGGUUGAAGGUUGGGUAACACUAACUGGAGGACCGAACCGACUAAUGUUGAAAAAUUAGCGGAUGACUUGUGGCUGGGGGUGAAAGGCCAAUCAAACCGGGAGAUAGCUGGUUCUCCCCGAAAGCUAUUUAGGUAGCGCCUCGUGAAUUCAUCUCCGGGGGUAGAGCACUGUUUCGGCAAGGGGGUCAUCCCGACUUACCAACCCGAUGCAAACUGCGAAUACCGGAGAAUGUUAUCACGGGAGACACACGGCGGGUGCUAACGUCCGUCGUGAAGAGGGAAACAACCCAGACCGCCAGCUAAGGUCCCAAAGUCAUGGUUAAGUGGGAAACGAUGUGGGAAGGCCCAGACAGCCAGGAUGUUGGCUUAGAAGCAGCCAUCAUUUAAAGAAAGCGUAAUAGCUCACUGGUCGAGUCGGCCUGCGCGGAAGAUGUAACGGGGCUAAACCAUGCACCGAAGCUGCGGCAGCGACGCUUAUGCGUUGUUGGGUAGGGGAGCGUUCUGUAAGCCUGUGAAGGUGUACUGUGAGGUAUGCUGGAGGUAUCAGAAGUGCGAAUGCUGACAUAAGUAACGAUAAAGCGGGUGAAAAGCCCGCUCGCCGGAAGACCAAGGGUUCCUGUCCAACGUUAAUCGGGGCAGGGUGAGUCGACCCCUAAGGCGAGGCCGAAAGGCGUAGUCGAUGGGAAACAGGUUAAUAUUCCUGUACUUGGUGUUACUGCGAAGGGGGGACGGAGAAGGCUAUGUUGGCCGGGCGACGGUUGUCCCGGUUUAAGCGUGUAGGCUGGUUUUCCAGGCAAAUCCGGAAAAUCAAGGCUGAGGCGUGAUGACGAGGCACUACGGUGCUGAAGCAACAAAUGCCCUGCUUCCAGGAAAAGCCUCUAAGCAUCAGGUAACAUCAAAUCGUACCCCAAACCGACACAGGUGGUCAGGUAGAGAAUACCAAGGCGCUUGAGAGAACUCGGGUGAAGGAACUAGGCAAAAUGGUGCCGUAACUUCGGGAGAAGGCACGCUGAUAUGUAGGUGAAGUCCCUCGCGGAUGGAGCUGAAAUCAGUCGAAGAUACCAGCUGGCUGCAACUGUUUAUUAAAAACACAGCACUGUGCAAACACGAAAGUGGACGUAUACGGUGUGACGCCUGCCCGGUGCCGGAAGGUUAAUUGAUGGGGUUAGCGCAAGCGAAGCUCUUGAUCGAAGCCCCGGUAAACGGCGGCCGUAACUAUAACGGUCCUAAGGUAGCGAAAUUCCUUGUCGGGUAAGUUCCGACCUGCACGAAUGGCGUAAUGAUGGCCAGGCUGUCUCCACCCGAGACUCAGUGAAAUUGAACUCGCUGUGAAGAUGCAGUGUACCCGCGGCAAGACGGAAAGACCCCGUGAACCUUUACUAUAGCUUGACACUGAACAUUGAGCCUUGAUGUGUAGGAUAGGUGGGAGGCUUUGAAGUGUGGACGCCAGUCUGCAUGGAGCCGACCUUGAAAUACCACCCUUUAAUGUUUGAUGUUCUAACGUUGACCCGUAAUCCGGGUUGCGGACAGUGUCUGGUGGGUAGUUUGACUGGGGCGGUCUCCUCCUAAAGAGUAACGGAGGAGCACGAAGGUUGGCUAAUCCUGGUCGGACAUCAGGAGGUUAGUGCAAUGGCAUAAGCCAGCUUGACUGCGAGCGUGACGGCGCGAGCAGGUGCGAAAGCAGGUCAUAGUGAUCCGGUGGUUCUGAAUGGAAGGGCCAUCGCUCAACGGAUAAAAGGUACUCCGGGGAUAACAGGCUGAUACCGCCCAAGAGUUCAUAUCGACGGCGGUGUUUGGCACCUCGAUGUCGGCUCAUCACAUCCUGGGGCUGAAGUAGGUCCCAAGGGUAUGGCUGUUCGCCAUUUAAAGUGGUACGCGAGCUGGGUUUAGAACGUCGUGAGACAGUUCGGUCCCUAUCUGCCGUGGGCGCUGGAGAACUGAGGGGGGCUGCUCCUAGUACGAGAGGACCGGAGUGGACGCAUCACUGGUGUUCGGGUUGUCAUGCCAAUGGCACUGCCCGGUAGCUAAAUGCGGAAGAGAUAAGUGCUGAAAGCAUCUAAGCACGAAACUUGCCCCGAGAUGAGUUCUCCCUGACUCCUUGAGAGUCCUGAAGGAACGUUGAAGACGACGACGUUGAUAGGCCGGGUGUGUAAGCGCAGCGAUGCGUUGAGCUAACCGGUACUAAUGAACCGUGAGGCUUAACCUU
rnacentral:rRNA from 1 species